rnacentral:rRNA from 1 species
GAGUUUGAUCCUGGCUCAGAUUGAACGCUGGCGGCAGGCCUAAAACAUGCAAGUCGAGCGGAUGACGGGAGCUUGCUCCUUGAUUCAGCGGCGGACGGGUGAGUAAUGCCUAGGAAUCUGCCUGGUAGUGGGGGACAACGUUUCGAAAGGAACGCUAAUACCGCAUACGUCCUACGGGAGAAAGCAGGGGACCUUCGGGCCUUGCGCUAUCAGAUGAGCCUAGGUCGGAUUAGCUAGUUGGUGGGGUAAUGGCUCACCAAGGCGACGAUCCGUAACUGGUCUGAGAGGAUGAUCAGUCACACUGGAACUGAGACACGGUCCAGACUCCUACGGGAGGCAGCAGUGGGGAAUAUUGGACAAUGGGCGAAAGCCUGAUCCAGCCAUGCCGCGUGUGUGAAGAAGGUCUUCGGGAUUGUAAAGCACUUUAAGUUGGGAGGAAGGGCAGUAAGUUAAUACCUUGCUGUUUUGACGUUACCGACAGAAUAAGCACCGGCUAACUCUGUGCCAGCCGCCGCCGU